AGACCAACAGGGAUUGCCUCAGUAACGGCGAGUGAAGCGGCAUAAGCUCAAAUUUGAAAUCUGGCUCUUUCAGGGUCCGAGUUGUAAUUUGUAGAAGAUGCUUCGGGUGUGGUCCCGGUCUAAGUUCCUUGGAACAGGACGUCAUAGAGGGUGAGAAUCCCGUAUGUGACUGGGUGCCUAUGCUCAUGUGAAGCUCUUUCGACGAGUCGAGUUGUUUGGGAAUGCAGCUCAAAAUGGGUGGUAUAUUUCAUCUAAAGCUAAAUAUUGGCCAGAGACCGAUAGCGCACAAGUAGAGUGAUCGAAAGAUGAAAAGCACUUUGGAAAGAGAGUUAAACAGUACGUGAAAUUGUUGAAAGGGAAGCGCUUGCAAUCAGACUUGCGCCUGGUUGAUCAUCCGGGGUUCUCUCCGGUGCACUCGAUCAGGCUCAGGCCAGCAUCGGUUUGGGUGGUUGGAUAAAGGCCUUGGGAAUGUGGCCUCCUUCGGGGGGUGUUAUAGCCCUCGGUGCCAUGCAGCCUACCUGGACCGAGGACCGCGCUUCGGCUAGGAUGCUGGCGUAAUGGUUGUAAGCGACCCGUCUUGAAACACGGACCAAGGAGUCUAACAUCUAUGCGAGUGUGGGGGGGUGGAAAA
rnacentral:rRNA from 1 species